AGGCCUAUAAGUUAAAGGAUAGACUCCCCGGCUUCGGACCGGGUAAUCAGGGUUCAAUUCCCUGUAGGCCUA
rnacentral:tRNA from 1 species